CAAUAGCGUAUAUUAAAGUUGUUGCGGUUAAAAAGCUCGUAGUUGGAUUUCUGCCGAGGACGACCGGUCCGCCCUCCGGGUGAGUAUCUGGCUCGGCCUGGGCAUCUUCUUGGAGAACGUAACUGCACUUGGCUGUGUGGUGCGGUAUUCAGGACUUUUACUUUGAGGAAAUUAGAGUGUUUCAAGCAGGCACACGCCUUGAAUACAUUAGCAUGGAAUAAUAAGAUAGGACCUCGGUUCUAUUUUGUUGGUUUCUAGAUCUGAGGUAAUGAUUAAUAGGGAUAGUUGGGGGCAUUCGUAUUUAACUGUCAGAGAUGAAAUUCUUGGAUUUGUUAAAGACGGACUACUGCGAAAGCAUUUGCCAAGGAUGUUUNCAUUGA
rnacentral:rRNA from 1 species